CUGAAGGCCAUAACUAUGAACAUGACCCUUCUGUAGCAGGGCUUGGAGCAGCUAUGCAAUUGCCUGGAAAGUACCAGAGCAAGCCAAAUAUAUAGCAGAUCUGAAAUGCGCUGCAAGAUGUGAUGCAGACAUUUUUUCUAUAAGACCACAAGUGGAGAAAGACUGCACUAAAAGCCAUUCUCCCUGCCAACCAGAUAAGCACAGUUCAACAGAUAAAACUUAGCAGCUGCGGCGUUCAGAGUGCAUUCCCCCCACAGUAGCAAUGAAUUGCUAAAACUGGAGCAUUUGGAAUGUCUGAACAGUCACAUUUUACCAUUAACUUCUUAUCACUAUUGAAAAUCCUGGAGCUGGGCACCUGUUUACCCCAUCUUCUGGACCUUCAGGAUACUCAGACUUAUCCAAUCUACAACAAGACCUCAGCUUGGACGCAUCGGGCAAUGAACCAUAUGUUCAAACACAGCAAUGAUUUUAAAAUCUUACAACAUGGAGAGAUUCAGAGUUGCUUUGCAGGAAAAUUAACAGCCAAGCUUCUGCAAUAUUAGUCUAGAGUCAGCUUAUGAUCGAAACAGAUGUAACUAAAAGCCUGACACUCAAAAAGCUCUAUUUUAAAGACAGCUUAAUCCUCUCGGCACCUUCCUCUUGGAUCUGACACUCAAGUUACAGGGUCAACCUCUUGGCUCCUAUUCAGAAGGCUUUUUGCUGUACUCCUGUAACCCUCAGCAGAGGACUGGCCCUGGAAGGCAUCAGGGCCCACAUGGUUUGCAUUAGCUUUUGCCACAAUGGAAGGAGUAUUACACCUUCAGACAUCUGUGUAGUUCAAGUAAUUAAACAGGGGCAUUAUAAACACAUAACAUUUUAGUUAAAGGGCAACAAAACACUUGGAAAAGCAGCAGCUGAUUUCAACAAGAACAACUGCAAAUUCCUAUGCUGCUUUUGUGGCUUGAGCCUGUUUUAGAUGCGAAUAGCUAGACCUGUUAAAAAGCAAUCCUAAGCAGUGAUCUCUACUUUUUCAGUAAACAAUACCAGAUUAACUACGCAGAGCUCUCUGUCCUAAUUUUUGUGUCAUCAGUCAAGACAAACCCAG